rnacentral:snoRNA from 1 species
AACCCAUGGUGAGGGCACUAGUUUGUAUAGCUUCUAAAUUUUUCCCAUGUUUCCCCAAAGCUCUCAUUGUUGUAUUGGCUAAAGCUUGAGAUUUAAUUCAUCAACUU